GGCGGCGUGCCUAAUACAUGCAAGUAGAACGCUGAAGAGAGGAGCUUGCUCUUCUUGGAUGAGUUGCGAACGGUGAGUAACGCGUAGGUAACCUGCCUGGUAGCGGGGGAUAACUAUUGGAAACGAUAGCUAAUACCGCAUAAAAUGGAUUAUCGCAUGAUAAUCGAUUGAAAGGUGCAAAUGCAUCACUACCAGAUGGACCUGCGUUGUAUUAGCUAGUUGGUGGGGUAACGGCUCACCAAGGCGACGAUACAUAGCCGACCUGAGAGGGUGAUCGGCCACACUGGGACUGAGACACGGCCCAGACUCCUACGGGAGGCAGCAGUAGGGAAUCUUCGGCAAUGGACGGAAGUCUGACCGAGCAACGCCGCUGAGUGAAGAAGGUUUUCGGAUCGUAAAGCUCUGUUGUAAGAGAAGAACGAGUGUGAGAGUGGAAAGUUCACACUGUGACUGGAUCUACCAGAAA
rnacentral:rRNA from 1 species